rnacentral:rRNA from 1 species
GACGAACGCUGGCGGCGUGCUUAACACAUGCAAGUCGAACGGAAAGGCCCUGCUUGCAGGGUACUCGAGUGGCGAACGGGUGAGUAACACGUGGGUGAUCUGCCCUGCACUUCGGGAUAAGCCUGGGAAACUGGGUUUAAUACCGGAUAGGAGCCAUUUUUAGUGUGAUGGUUGGAAAGUUUUUUCGGUGUAGGAUGAGCUCGCGGCCUAUCAGCUUGUUGGUGGGGUAAUGGCCUACCAAGGCGGCGACGGGUAGCCGGCCUGAGAGGGUGGACGGCCACAUUGGGACUGAGAUACGGCCCAGACUCCUACGGGAGGCAGCAGUGGGGAAUAUUGCACAAUGGGCGCAAGCCUGAUGCAGCGACGCCGCGUGGGGGAUGACGGCCUUCGGGUUGUAAACUCCUUUCGCUAGGGACGAAGCUUUUUGUGACGGUACCUAGAUAAGAAGCACCGGCUAACUACGUG